UGUAGCUUGUAAGACAUUGGCAACACUGUCAGCUUUGUUGGGCAACACCAGGAAGGUAAAUUUUCAGUGGCAGUUUGCAGAUUUGUGUUGGGCAAAGCAGUUAGCAGUCUCGCUUUCGUGAUCUGACAAAAGGUUGCUUACACCUUAAUCUUCCACCGAGAGAAAGAAAUAAUCUUUCUGAUUUUCACACGAAUUGCCAGCAAACUUCAUGAGGUCGGAGGUGCAGGAAGAGCCAAAAAGGAGGGUGGGAGCAAAGAAUGCUUAGCCACAGGCAGAACUUAGUUCACAUAAAGAAGGAGAAAGAAGCCAGAGAGACUGAAGGCUUUGAAGGGGAACAGAAAUCAUAAGGAUGGACUACUCUUACUUUCUAUUAUGUUUUCUAGUUGCCGUUCUUAACAAAAAAUGACAUUUAUAUUUUAAGAAGAUAGCAUAGCAAAAUAAUUUCUCAAAAUACUUGAAAUUGUUAAAGAUUUUCUAUGAUAUUUUUCUUAUUGAAGCAGAAGUAUUACUUUUUCAUGUUAUUUUAUCUAUAGCUGGUAGUUAUAUGCGUGCUGGAAAAAUGUAAUCCCUUCCUUUUUCCUGCUGCUAUGACUCCUAUGCCUAACCUCCAGAGUUGACUGAGAGGAAAGGCUUUGAAGUUGGAGUGGUUUCAUGUUUGACAUUUUUUGUUCCAAAUAUCUAAACUUAGUAUUUAUUCUGUCCUGAACAGAAAGUCCUAGCAGGUGUAGAUGAUUGAAAGCAAUAGCAGAGCAGUCCAUUUCAUAGAUGUGCUAAGGCUUGUAAAAUUUUCUGUCUGCAUUUAGCUGUCAGUAAGAUAUAACAGUAUUGACAUGAGAUCUCAUUUUAACAUGAAUUUUGAUUGACGGGGAUGUUUGUUGUACUUAACUCAUGUCAUGUCUGUGUAUAACAAGACUUUUGACUGACUCUUUCUAUUAUGUUGGUAGCAUUGCACUGUAUCUCAGAAGAAUGCUUAAAAGGCUACAAAGAUUUGAAGAGCAUUCAGGGGAUACAAAAUCUUGCAUUUCAAAGGAGUCACCACUUAAAAAAAAAAAAAGUGUGAAGCAGAGGCAGUGCAUGAAAGUACUUAAUCUAAAGCAACUUCUCAGAGUCAUCUGUAAGAGAACGUACUCUGUGGCUAUGGUAGAGUAGCAUGAUUUUACAGAAGAGUAAAUGUUUUCUACCUUAA